rnacentral:tRNA from 1 species
GGGGGUAUAGCUCAGUUGGGAGAGCGUCUGGUUCGCAAUCAGAAGGUCAGCGGUUCGAAUCCGCUUACCUCCACCA